rnacentral:lncRNA from 1 species
CUCAUUUUUCUACUGCUCGUGGAUUUACGCGCACGUUGGAACCGAAGAGAGCUCUGUUGUUGCAAUGUUCAGCCCACAAGAGCUUACUGGUGAAGGAAUGGGACAAGACCCAUCUUUAUGCAAAGCCAGCGUUACAGUAAUGUUCCAGCAUCUCAUAAUCUAUCCUGGGGAAUUCAGCUGCCUCCCAGGGUGAAUACAGGUAUUCCUGAUGACAGUCUGCCUCUAUCUUACACUUGUUGCUAUAUACCAUUGAAAAGCCUUCAGAGCUGAGAGGUACUACUAACCAAUAACCUGCUUGGCUCAAAGGGCCAGCACCUUCUCUCUAAAGCCCAAGAGGAGUUUGAGGAAAACUAGGUGUCUGUGUUCACUCCAGGCUGAAGUUACAGGUCUGAGCAAAUAAGGUGUAUAAAAAAUGGAAUCUGUCUUGGAGGACAUCAGAAGGUGAAUUUUCCAAGUUCUUGGACAACCUAGCUGUUGAAAAGCUUUCUGGGUUUGGGGGGUAUUUCAGAUGUACCUUAAAGUGUUAGCAGACACAGAUUAAGACACUGGGAGCCAAUGAAACAGCAGUUGAGGGUUUGCUGUGUAUCACAUUUCUGUAUUUUAUCACCCCCUUCCUGCAACAUUAUUUAUCUGGAAUCUACCUGCCCUUUUGUUUUUUAGAUACAAGGGCUUGGUUUUGUUACCCAGGCUGGUUUCAAGGCCAUAGCUUUAAGAGAUCCUCUCACCACAGAUUUCCAAAGUGCUGGGAUUGCAGGUGUGAUUCAUGGCACCCAGACUUUGCUGCCUUUCUUACAUGAUCCAGGCCCAGAACCCAAACUCAGGCACUGUAUAGAUGACCACUUUCGUAAACUACUGACCUAGCUUGUUGCCAAUUGUUGAUUGAACUUCCCAUAACUCCACUUCGUGUCUGUUCCUCUGUAUACAGCCACCUUCUGUUCCCGUCAUGAGCCUUUAGGUCUCCAUUUGCAUAUUGCAAAUACUAUGUUCCAUGUAGGUAGCUCAUUCAGGGCCUUGCUCUUCACUUCAAAAAAGGUUCCCUUGAGGACUGGCUGUCAAUUUGUGUUGCUGUGUUGGUUGUUGAUGAAAAUAAUAAAAUGAUUGAUUACAUA